rnacentral:rRNA from 1 species
AGAGUUUGAUCCUGGCUCAGGAUGAACGCUGGCGGCGUGCUUAACACAUGCAAGUCGAACGAAGCAGGAGGGUGCUUGCACCUUCCUGCUGAGUGGCGGACGGGUGAGUAAUACGUGGAUAAUCUGCCCUGCACAGGGGGACAACAGCUAGAAAUGGCUGCUAAUACCGCAUAAGCCUACAGCCUCGCAUGAGGGAGUAGGAAAAGAAAUUCGGUGCAGGAUGAGUCCGCGUCUGAUUAGCUAGUUGGAGGGGUAAAAGCCCACCAAGGCAACGAUCAGUAGCCGGCCUGAGAGGGCGACCGGCCACAUUGGGACUGAGACACGGCCCAAACUCCUACGGGAGGCAGCAGUGGGGAAUAUUGCACAAUGGGGGAAACCCUGAUGCAGCGACGCCGCGUGAGCGAGGAAGUAUUUCGGUAUGUAAAGCUCUAUCAGUAGGGACGAAAAAGACGGUACCUGACUAAGAAGCCCCGGCUAACUACGUG